UACGAAGGGGGGCAAGCGUUGUUCGGAAUUACUGGGCGUAAAGGGCGCGUAGGCGGCUUAUCAAGUCAGGCGUGAAAUUCCCGGGCUCAACCUGGGGGCUGCGCUUGAUACUGAUGAGCUUGAAUGCGGGAGAGGAUAGUGGAAUUCCCCAGUGUAGAGGUGAAAUUCGUAGAUAUUGGGAAGAACACCGGUGGCGAAGGCGGCUAUCUGGCCCGUAAUUGACGCUGAGGCGCGAAAGCGUGGGGGAGCAAACAGG
rnacentral:rRNA from 1 species